AUCGCUUCCCGGCCUUUUGGCUAUGAUGAAGUGUA
rnacentral:snRNA from 1 species